rnacentral:snRNA from 1 species
CUCAGUUCAGCAGCAGAUAACUAAAGUUGGACCGAUACAGAGAAGAUCAGCACAGCCCUUGUUCUUGGGUGACAGGCACAUUCAUGAAGAGCUCCAUCUUUUU